GAUGAAGAACGCAGCGAAAUGCGAUACUUGGUGUGAAUUGCAGAAUCCCGUGAACCAUCGAGUCUUUGAACGCAAGUUGCGCCCGAAGCCACUAGGCCGAGGGCACGCCUGCCUGGGCGUCACACGUCGUUGCCCCCCCCCCAUCUACUCCUUCGGGAUUGCGGGGGGCGGAUGAUGGCCUCCCGUGCGCCUAGCCGCGCGGUUGGCAUAAAUACCAAGUCAUCGGCGACGCACGCCACGACAAUCGGUGGUGGCGAAACCUCGGUUGCCCGUCGUGUGCGUUCGUCGCGCAUCGAGGGCUCGAAAAAAUGCUCGGCUCCGGCUCGGCUUUCAACGCGACCCCAGGUCAGGCGGGGUUACCCGCUGAAUUUAAGCAUAUCAAUAAGCGGAGGA
rnacentral:misc_RNA from 1 species